AUGUGGUCUCGGCUGGACAGCCGCAUGUUCAGGUUGAACAGCAGGGUUCCUCAAUGUCCACACUCUCCAGACUCACUGUCUCCUGAUGCUGAGGACACAGGACAGGUUACAUACAGAUAUACAGUAAUUAUACAGAUAUUGAUGUGUAAACACUGUCCAGACUCACUGUCUCCUGAUGCUGAGGACACAGGACAGGUUACAUAUAGAUAUACAGUAUUAUACAGAUAUAUGUUGGUUAACACUGUCCAGACUCACUGUCUCCUGUGCCUGAGGAACAGACAGGUUACAUACAGUAUUAUACAGAUAUAUGAUUGUAACACUGUCCAGACUCACGUCUCCUGAUGCUGAGGACACAGGACAGGUCAUUAAUACAGUAUUAUACAGAUAUAUGAUGUGUAACACUGUCCAGACUCAACUGUUCCUGAUGCUGAUGAACAGGACAGGUUAACAUACGUAUUAUACAGAUAUAUGAUGUGUAACAUGUCCAG
rnacentral:lncRNA from 1 species